GUCUACGGCCAUGCUACCCUGAACAAGCCUGAUCCCAUCUGAUCUCAGAAGCUAAGCAGGGUCGGGUCUGGUUAGUACUUGGAUGGGAGAUCACCUAGGAAGACCAGGUGCUCUAUCAA
rnacentral:rRNA from 1 species